rnacentral:snoRNA from 1 species
CAAAUGGUAUUGGGCCUUUUGCUAGCGACCCAUUGAGCCAUCACGAAGGGGCAGAGUAAAAACAUCACUUUUGGGUGAAGUAGCAACUUGUGUUGUUUUACUUCAGUCAGUGUUGUGACAAGA